rnacentral:rRNA from 1 species
UAGGGAAUCUUCGGCAAUGGACGGAAGUCUGACCGAGCAACGCCGCGUGAGUGAAGAAGGUUUUCGGAUCGUAAAGCUCUGUUGUAAGAGAAGAACGAGUGUGAGAGUGGAAAGUUCACACUGUGACGGUAUCUUACCAGAAAGGGACGGCUAACUACGUGCCAGCAGCCGCGGUAAUACGUAGGUCCCGAGCGUUGUCCGGAUUUAUUGGGCGUAAAGCGAGCGCAGGCGGUUAGAUAAGUCUGAAGUUAAAGGCUGUGGCUUAACCAUAGUACGCUUUGGAAACUGUUUAACUUGAGUGCAAGAGGGGAGAGUGGAAUUCCAUGUGUAGCGGUGAAAUGCGUAGAUAUAUGGAGGAACACCGGUGGCGAAAGCGGCUCUCUGGCUUGUAACUGACGCUGAGGCUCGAAAGCGUGGGGAGCAAACAGGAUUAGAUACCCUGGUAGUCCACGCCGUAAACGAUGAGUGCUAGGUGUUAGACCCUUUCCGGGGUUUAGUGCCGCAGCUAACGCAUUAANCACUCCGCCUGGGGAGUACGACCGCAAGGUUG